CUUUUAGAAGGAGCUGUCAGCACUGGAGCAGGGAUAGACUUUCUUCAGAGUGGGACAGAUGCAGAGACUGAGGAGAAACACACUGUGUUGCAUGGAAUUAGCAGGACAGAAGAGAAAGCACCAUCCACUGACCUGCAGGCUGCUGACAUGCUGCCAUGCUAAUGCUUGCAGGAUUGUAACAACCCCACAAGACACCCUGGCAAUGCAUCCCACCAGUACAGCCUGCUUGCCUUGCUCAGCAGAACAAACUGAUGGACGGUAACCACUUCUUGGAUGGCUCACUCCAGGCCAAGUCAGCUAAGCUCCACGCUGGCAUAGCUUGUCAUUUCCAGCAGACGAGAUCGUGUGAACUGCUGCUCAUUUCCACUGGGCACUGUGAUGUCCAGACCAAGAAAGAAAGAGCAGAAGGCAGCAAGACAGAAGUGAAGGAAAAAGAACAGGUAAGAAAAGGAG
ensembl:lncRNA